UGCGAUGGCCUGUCUUAAGUUGGCUUCCUCUAUUGGUCUUUUAUCUGACAAGACACCUUUGGCAAAGUCUCAUCAAUAUGCUACUUUUCAUCUGCCUGACACUGAAAUCAAUGGACUGCAGAAGAAGCCUCUCGAUCAGCAUUGUCAGAAAUGAUCACCAUGCUGGACGGAGCAUGCUACCUGAUUUCUCCUGACUGAACUCCCACAAAAGCAUGGCUGCAAAUCCCAGAGAAAGAAGAAAGAGAACUUACAUAAAGGAGGCUUUCUGGAGAACUCGCUGUAAGAGGGUCAAUGCGGAAAUAUGGAAUGUGCUUAGGAGUCCACUGAAGCAGUCCAG
rnacentral:lncRNA from 1 species